UCAGAAGUGAUUGCUUACCGAAUCAGUCAAAAUACACAUGAGGAAGCACUGCUUUUGCACUGCUAAUGAUGAAUAGAACAUGCUAUAUGCUUUACCACUCUGUACAAGAGACUGCUCUGCCAGCUUAAUGCCUCAAAGACAAGAAAAUCUGAACACUUUGAGCCCCGACGGCAUCCUCAGGCCAGGUGUUCAACAGCUCCAACUCCUGCUCUGUGAAGAACACCUUCUUCCUCUCAACUAUUCUGAUUUUUAUUUUACCUCUCUUUUCUUUCUUCAGAUAACACGCAUGCAGCAAAUGGAGACAGAUGCCUGC